GAAGACCUUCAUCCGGCGGUUCCGGCGCAGCCCACGCCAUCAUCAUCACGGCGGAGGCGGGCAGAAGCUCAACUACGACCCGCUCAGCUACGCGCUUAACUUCGACGAGGGCCACGGCGGCCCCUGCAGCCCGGAGCGGGACUACGCCGGGUACCGCGACUUCUCCACCCGCUUCGUUGCGCCCCCGGCCGCCUCCGCUAAGACGUCCAUCGACCUCGGCGCCCGUGACGCUCCGCCGCUGUUCCACAACCCGCCGCCGCAACAGCCCCACCCUCACCCGCCGUCCCCCACCGCCGCGCGGGGCUGACGUACGUGACCUCGUCGCCGGCGCACCGACCGGAUUUUGUUAUUGCUGGGCGGCGGAGGCGAUAAGGGCGACGUCCUUUUCUCCCAUUUGCUGCUGGUAGAUGGUGUCCAUAGAAGAUGCUUAUUUUUGUUUUCUUUUUCUGUUGCCUUUUUUAAAAUUUUGGCAUUGUAAAUAAAAAUAGAACUUAUAUAUAUUAUAUAUGGAUCAAUUUGUCACAACAGCCACAUAAGUUCUGAAUUUCACUAAGGCGAUGAUAACGGAAUGGAC
rnacentral:lncRNA from 1 species